CGUUAACGAACGAGACCCCCGCCUGCUAAAUAGCGUGGCUUACGCAUUCGCGUAGUUGGGCGCUUCUUAGAGGGACUUUCGGUGACUAACCGAAGGAAGUUGGGGGC
rnacentral:rRNA from 1 species